GCCGACGUGGCGGAAUUGGCAGACGCAAGGGACUUAAAAUCCCUCGCCCCGCAAGGGGCAUGUGGGUUCGAUUCCCACCGUCGGCACCA
rnacentral:tRNA from 1 species